UAGGGAAUCUUCGGCAAUGGACGAAAGUCUGACCGAGCAACGCCGCGUGAGUGAAGAAGGUUUUCGGAUCGUAAAACUCUGUUGUUAGAGAAGAACAAGGACGUUAGUAACUGAACGUCCCCUGACGGUAUCUAACCAGAAAGCCACGGCUAACUACGUGCCAGCAGCCGCGGUAAUACGUAGGUGGCAAGCGUUGUCCGGAUUUAUUGGGCGUAAAGCGAGCGCAGGCGGUUUCUUAAGUCUGAUGUGAAAGCCCCCGGCUCAACCCGGGAGGGUCAUUGGAAACUGGGAGACUUGAGUGCAGAAGAGGAGAGUGGAAUUCCAUGUGUGGCGGUGAAAUGCGUAGAUAUAUGGAGGAACACCAGUGGCGAAGGCGGCUCUCUGGUCUGUAACUGACGCUGAGGCUCGAAAGCGUGGGGAGCAAACAGG
rnacentral:rRNA from 1 species